rnacentral:rRNA from 1 species
UUAAGCGACUAAGCGUACACGGUGGAUGCCCUGGCAGUCAGAGGCGAUGAAGGACGUGCUAAUCUGCGAAAAGCGUCGGUAAGGUGAUAUGAACCGUUAUAACCGGCGAUGUCCGAAUGGGGAAACCCAGUGCAAUUCGUUGCACUAUCGUUAACUGAAUACAUAGGUUAACGAGGCGAACCGGGGGAACUGAAACAUCUAAGUACCCCGAGGAAAAGAAAUCAACCGAGAUUCCCCCAGUAGCGGCGAGCGAACGGGGAGCAGCCCAGAGUCUGAAUCAGCUUGUGUGUUAGUGGAACGGUCUGGAAAGUCCGACGGUACAGGGUGAUAGUCCCGUACACCAAAAUGCACAGGCUGUGAACUCGAAGAGUAGGGCGGGACACGUGGUAUCCUGUCUGAAUAUGGGGGGGACCAUCCUCCAAGGCUAAAUACUCCUGACUGACCGAUAGUGAACCAGUACCGUGAGGGAAAGGCGAAAAGAACCCCGGCGAGGGGAGUGAAAAAGAACCUGAAACCGUGUACGUACAAGCAGUGGGAGCACCUUCGGGUGUGACUGCGUACCUUUUGUAUAAUGGGUCAGCGACUUAUAUUCUGUAGCAAGGUUAACCGUAUAGGGGAGCCGCAGGGAAACCGAGUCUUAACUGGGCGUUAAGUUGCAGGGUAUAGACCCGAAACCCGGUGAUCUAGCCAUGGGCAGGUUGAAGGUUGGGUAACACUAACUGGAGGACCGAACCGACUAAUGUUGAAAAAUUAGCGGAUGACUUGUGGCUGGGGGUGAAAGGCCAAUCAAACCGGGAGAUAGCUGGUUCUCCCCGAAAGCUAUUUAGGUAGCGCCUCGUGAACUCAUCUUCGGGGGUAGAGCACUGUUUCGGCUAGGGGGUCAUCCCGACUUACCAACCCGAUGCAAACUACGAAUACCGAAGAAUGUUAUCACGGGAGACACACGGCGGGUGCUAACGUCCGUCGUGAAGAGGGAAACAACCCAGACCGCCAGCUAAGGUCCCAAAGUCAUGGUUAAGUGGGAAACGAUGUGGGAAGGCACAGACAGCCAGGAUGUUGGCUUAGAAGCAGCCAUCAUUUAAAGAAAGCGUAAUAGCUCACUGGUCGAGUCGGCCUGCGCGGAAGAUGUAACGGGGCUAAACCAUGCACCGAAGCUGCGGCAGCGACACUAUGUGUUGUUGGGUAGGGGAGCGUUCUGUAAGCCUGCGAAGGUGUGCUGUGAGGCAUGCUGGAGGUAUCAGAAGUGCGAAUGCUGACAUAAGUAACGAUAAAGCGGGUGAAAAGCCCGCUCGCCGGAAGACCAAGGGUUCCUGUCCAACGUUAAUCGGGGCAGGGUGAGUCGACCCCUAAGGCGAGGCCGAAAGGCGUAGUCGAUGGGAAACAGGUUAAUAUUCCUGUACUUGGUGUUACUGCGAAGGGGGGACGGAGAAGGCUAUGUUAGCCGGGCGACGGUUGUCCCGGUUUAAGCAUGUAGGCUGAUUGUCCAGGCAAAUCCGGAUAAUCAAGGCUGAGGUGUGAUGACGAGGCACUACGGUGCUGAAGUAACAAAUGCCCUGCUUCCAGGAAAAGCCUCUAAGCAUCAGGUAACAUUAAAUCGUACCCCAAACCGACACAGGUGGUCAGGUAGAGAAUACCAAGGCGCUUGAGAGAACUCGGGUGAAGGAACUAGGCAAAAUGGUGCCGUAACUUCGGGAGAAGGCACGCUGGUGUGUAGGUGAAGUCCCUGCGGAUGGAGCUGAGACCAGUCGAAGAUACCAGCUGGCUGCAACUGUUUAUUAAAAACACAGCACUGUGCAAACACGAAAGUGGACGUAUACGGUGUGACGCCUGCCCGGUGCCGGAAGGUUAAUUGAUGGGGUUAUCCGUAAGGAGAAGCUCUUGAUCGAAGCCCCGGUAAACGGCGGCCGUAACUAUAACGGUCCUAAGGUAGCGAAAUUCCUUGUCGGGUAAGUUCCGACCUGCACGAAUGGCGUAAUGAUGGCCAGGCUGUCUCCACCCGAGACUCAGUGAAAUUGAACUCGCUGUGAAGAUGCAGUGUACCCGCGGCAAGACGGAAAGACCCCGUGAACCUUUACUAUAGCUUGACACUGAACAUUGAGCCUUGAUGUGUAGGAUAGGUGGGAGGCUUUGAAGCGUGGACGCCAGUCUGCGUGGAGCCAACCUUGAAAUACCACCCUUUAAUGUUUGAUGUUCUAACGUUGGCCCCUGACCGGGGUUGCGGACAGUGUCUGGUGGGUAGUUUGACUGGGGCGGUCUCCUCCCAAAGCGUAACGGAGGAGCACGAAGGUUAGCUAAUCCUGGUCGGACAUCAGGAGGUUAGUGCAAUGGCAUAAGCUAGCUUGACUGCGAGCGUGACGGCGCGAGCAGGUGCGAAAGCAGGUCAUAGUGAUCCGGUGGUUCUGAAUGGAAGGGCCAUCGCUCAACGGAUAAAAGGUACUCCGGGGAUAACAGGCUGAUACCGCCCAAGAGUUCAUAUCGACGGCGGUGUUUGGCACCUCGAUGUCGGCUCAUCACAUCCUGGGGCUGAAGUAGGUCCCAAGGGUAUGGCUGUUCGCCAUUUAAAGUGGUACGCGAGCUGGGUUUAGAACGUCGUGAGACAGUUCGGUCCCUAUCUGCCGUGGGCGCUGGAGAAUUGAGGGGGGCUGCUCCUAGUACGAGAGGACCGGAGUGGACGCAUCACUGGUGUUCGGGUUGUCAUGCCAAUGGCACUGCCCGGUAGCUAAAUGCGGAAGAGAUAAGUGCUGAAAGCAUCUAAGCACGAAACUUGCCCCGAGAUGAGUUCUCCCUGAGACUUUAAGUCUCCUGAAGGAACGUUAAAGACGAUGACGUUGAUAGGCCGGGUGUGUAAGCGCAGCGAUGCGUUGAGCUAACCGGUACUAAUGAACCGUGAGGCUUAACCUU